GGAUACGAUCAUACAAGCACUAAGGCAUCGGAUCCCAUCAGAACUCCGAAGUGAAGCGUGCUUGGGCGAGAUUAGUACUAGGAUGGGUGACCUCCUCGGAAGUCCUCGUGUUGCAUUCC
rfam:Triticum aestivum genome assembly, contig: Triticum_aestivum_CS42_TGACv1_scaffold_393665_5AS